CAGAAAUUGUGUUUAUCCCCUGAUUUCUGCUGUCCAUUUUUUCCCAUAGUAAUAGAACUUGGCUUCCCAGAUAAGGACUGUAUCUCCCAGCUUCCCGUGCAGCUAGGUGUGGUCAGGUAAACAAGUUCUGGCAACCAAUAUAGUGUUUGUUGGUUUAUAGGACUCUUCCUUGAGAGACAGCUGUUUUAAGUCUUUUGAACUUUCUUUCUCCCCUUACCUUUGUUUUCCUGGAUGUAAAUGUGGUGGUUAAAGCUGGAGCUGCCAUCUUGGAUUAUGAAGUAACCAUGGAUAUGGAAGACACAUAUGAUGAAACAAGCCUUCCCAGACACAACAGGACUAUCACCUGCUGGGCACUUCACUGACACUCAGAGACCCGGGACAAGAGGAAUGCACUCUACCAUCAAGGAGGCCACAGAUUACCCAAUCUGAAUUUCUCUCUGAUUUCUGCUCACUUGUUUAAAAUAAAAAUAUUUGUGUACUA